ACGAGUAACUGAACAGGUUGUAGCUGGCCUUUCGGGGCAUGUGCACACCUGGCUCAUCCACUCUUCAACCUCUGUGCACUUGUUGUAGGUCGGUAGAAGAGCGAGCAUUUAAUGCUUGCUUGGAAGCCUUCCUAUGUUUUACUACAAACGCUUCAGUUUAAGAAUGUUUACCUGCGUAUAACGCAUUUAUAUA
rnacentral:misc_RNA from 1 species